GGCACUCCGUGGGCACCCUGUGAAGGCGAGAGCGUGACAUGGUCCUGCUUUUUCUGGCAGCCUUGAUGGCACUGUCAGACUUUGGUCAUGCACAGGACUCUGUGCUGCAGUUUGCACAAGAAACUGCCAUCCGGGUGGGACACAAUGCUACUCUGCACUGCAAUUUCUCCACCAGCAGCUCUCUUCCCUACAUCUUCUGGUAUCAGCAGCGCCUGACCCAAUCCCCUCAGUUCUUGCUGCAGGUGAGCAAGUCCAAGCCUCAUGUGCAUUCCGGGAGGAUCUCCUCUGUGCUCUCCAUGGAGAACUCCCAGGUGCUUCUCCACGUGCAAGAUGCCAAGCUCCAGGACAGCGCUGUCUACCUGUGUGCACUGAGCCCACACUGGUGCCUGCAGCAUGCAGCUUUAUACAGGAAGGUGCGGGUGCUGUGAGGAGCAGCUCCCUCUCAUCACAGUUUGCAUGGAGCUCCGAGCUGAGCCUGCCCAGCAAGGACACGUGGGGCUUGUGGUGAGCCAGGUGUGAGUGGCAGCCCCUGCUCCUGAUGCCUGGCAGUGUGGUUAGCAUAACCAACAGUAAGGCAAAUAUCCAUAAUGUGGAAGGAGGCUGUUAAUGUGCACCCCUGCCCCCUUGUCUCUCCCUCUCACUGGCCCCAGCAUGUGGAGACACCCACCAUUGUGGUGAGAAAGGGCAUUAGUGUUAUCCAUCUAGUAAUUCAACUAGUAAU